UUUGCUCUUCAGAACUUUUUCGAGUUGCUAAGGUACAGUGACCUCAUAGUGGGCGCUUGUAAGAAGUACGUUUGCUGUUUUUGUUAUCGAUGUGCUCAGUUAUGCUCAUAGUUUUCCUAAUAUUGAACCAGCCACAUUUCUGCAAUGAAUCCCACUUGGCGAUAGUGCAUAGGUUUUGUGAUGCAUUGCUGUAAUGGCCUUGCUAGUAUUUUAUUUAAAAUAUUUGCAUCAGUCAGUUUGCAGAUUUGUUGCUCUAGAAGAGAGCUUUGGGCCUGAUAACGUGCCCCAGAGGCAGAGGUGCCCAAUGUUCACCAUCAAGGUCCUCUGCAGGGUGAGGGACUUGGUAUAAAGUGAGAGGGCUUAGUCACAGAACCCCAAAGCCUGCAUUCAGUAUAGAACCUGAUCAUGUAGAAGCUCUGAGAGCUGGACCUUGAAUAUGAAUCUCUUUGAGAGGGUGAGAGCAGGUCAGGAUGGCUCCAGAGAGAGCCAAAGCCAGCCUGGGUAGCUAUGGGCAUGCCAGAGAGCCUUGGGUCUAGGACAUGGCUGACAGCCCUGAGUCUAUCUAAUUUCCACAGUGUCUUGGGGACGAUGAUGAGAAACGCUUAACAGAUCUGAUAUCUGAAUUGGCAUAGCUCUGAGUCCCUGAUUGAUGGCAAAGACAAGGAGAAAGCUGGGGACAAACCAAAGGGGUCUGGAUGUGACAGAGAUUACCAUGCAGUUAUACCUGAAAAUGAAUUUGUUUAAAUCUGAAGUUAUCUGUUCCCGGUCAAGAAUGCCACGUGAUGAAAUUCACCAGAGAUGUUUGCCAGCAAAUAUAUUGACCCAAUUACAGAGCAUCCAAUGGGAUCCUUCCUCAUUGCCAUGGCACACAGAGAGAGCCCCAGUAUCACUGCGUAACAGAGUGUCCCCAGGAUGUCUUUGUGACCCGAUUAAUUCUUGGCAUGCUGGCCCAGCCAUCUCAGAAAAGAGCAGUGACAAUACUCUCUUUAGCUUGAGGAAAAAAACAUGGCAGCAGAUGGUACCUUUAACAGAUGACAGCAGCAACUUGGUGAAGAAGCAAUAG
rnacentral:lncRNA from 1 species